rnacentral:rRNA from 1 species
AAAGCUCAAAUUUAAAAUCUGGCAGUCUACGAUUGUCCGAGUUGUAAUUUCGAGAAGUGUUUUCCGCGCAGGACCGUAUACAAGUUUCCUGGAAUGGAACGUCAUAGAGGGUGAGAAUCCCGUCUUUGAUACGGACUACCUGUGCUUUUGUGAUACGCUCUCAACGAGUCGAGUUGUUUGGGAAUGCAGCUCAAAAUGGGUGGUAAAUUCCAUCUAAAGCUAAAUAUUGGCGAGAGACCGAUAGCGAA